AAAAUGCGAUAAGUAAUGUGAAUUGCAGAAUUCAGUGAAUCAUCGAAUCUUUGAACGCACAUUGCGCCCGCCAGUAUUCUGGCGGGCAUGCCUGUUCGAGCGUCAUUUCAACCCUCAAGCCCCCGGGUUUGGUGUUGGGGAUCGGGCUGCGGUUCUACCGCGUCCCGGCCCCGAAAUCUAGUGGCGGUCUCGCUGCAGCCUCCAUUGCGUAGUAGCUAACACCUCGCAACUGGAACGCGGCGCGGCCAAGCCGUAAAACCCCCAACUUCUGAAUGUUGACCUCGGAUCAGGUAGGAAUACCCGCUGAACUUAAGC
rnacentral:misc_RNA from 1 species